CCUUGCUUUCCGAGGGCGGCGUGCAGCCACAGUGCCCGCUGCGGGUGCUGGGGAAUGGCGCCUUACAGGCUGCCCACCUGCCUCCUCAGGGUGGAAGGCGGGGCUUGGGUGUGAGCGUGCUGAAUCAGAACUUUCCUGGAAAGUCGCCACUUGGUGUGGUCAGAGGAUCACUGAACUCCCAGCCACUCUCUUUUACAGAGCCCACAAAGCGUGGACGGCCACCCAGCCUUCCCAGUUUACAUGAUCAUGGGGAGAGCCUGUCAAAAGCAACUGCACAGAGCCUGUGCUUAAGAUGGCAGGAUCGCAAGACAGAGCAACUGGAGCAAGUCCUCAUUAAGAAGAGCCGCCCGAUGCAUUUGGACUGCGAUGUGUUACGCCCAUGAGAUUUCAGGGUUAAUUUGUUACCUGGCCGUGGCCUAUCCUCUUCCAGCAGAUACAGAGGCUACUGCAGUUUGCAACUUUGCAGAUACCAGCAGAGGAAGAAAAACCUGGGAGACUGCUGCUAACCUAAUGUGGAGACUUGACUUAAACUUCAGCCAGACAAAGGCGGAAUCUUAAUAUGGAGGGGCCUGGCUCUGCAGGGAGGUCACCUGGGCUGGCUGGAUUUCAAUCCAGUUACACAGCAAAAAAGUUACAACCCAAGCUUUGGCGAUGCUGAGCCUUCUACUCUCAGGGAUUCCAAAGCAUUUGAUAAACUCUUUCUUUGUUCCAUUGUUUACUGACUUCCUAGUGCUUGUCUUGUUCUGCAGUUAUUUAUUUAUUUUUAUUUAUUAGUUUUUACUUAUGAUCUACCCCUCUCUCCCAUCUCCCCGCAACCUGAAGAUAAGUGACUGGAGCAGAAUCCACUUCUGCUGAGAAGCUCUGGAUGACCACGGAUAAGCAGGAAGGCAUGUGACAUAUUGGCAAGUGAGUCAGACAGAAAGAGAGACGUGGGAUCGAGUCCUGGCAUUGCCCUUUCUAGCUAUUGUGUCCUUGGACAGGUAAUUUAGCUUCCCUGAGUCUGUUUUCUCAUCUGAAAAAUGAAGAUAGUAAUAAUUAUCCUCGUGGGGCUAUUGAAAAAGUUAAAAUAAUACAAGCAAAGCAUUUAACAUAGG
rnacentral:lncRNA from 10 species